UGUUUCCUUAUUUAAUUCUCUUUCAAACUUCCUUCAAAAUUUUUAAUAUGGUACAGAGUCAGGUUAUCCAAAUUCUUUGUUCACAAAUAAUUGACCUUCAUAUUAUAUUGUUUACACUUCAGUUAACAAAAUGCAGAUGUGGGGAAAUGUUAAGAUCCCACGUUGAAAAAGGGAUUGGUACUUGAUUUGCUUAUAUGAACUUAUACAAUCCUCCCCUCAGGAGCUAGAUUUUGAGAUCGAGUUAGAUCUAUGAUUCAUUUUUUACGUGGUAUCAAAGCAAGGCGAUCAAUUCCUUAUACCUUUUGUUCUUACUUGGCCUAAAAAAUAUGUAUCGUCGCAACUUUAGGUAUAAUUUGGGAGUAAUAGUGUUUUAUCUCCAAAAGCAAAAUACCUUUUUGUUUUUGUUCAAGUAUUUGAUACUUUUACAAUCCUGUUUGAGUUAUAUUUAUUUUAUCUUGUUAUUGUAAUUUAUUUUGUACUAUAAUUUACACUAUUGGUUCUUCAUUUAGUCCUUUUUUCACCUCGUGUAAUACAACUUAAGAUUGCAACCACAUCUGGAGGUGCAAGAUAGAACCCCUGGUGGCUUGGAAUGGAUGACCAUAAAUUUCACUGCACUUGGACAGCAUGACAAGUGACAUUGAAGUCCAUGUGUGACUUCCAAGUUAUAUGUGCCUAAUGCAUCCAAAAUGGUUAUCAAUAAGCCAUUACCCCGGUCUCUGAAUGUUGGCACUUCUAUUCAUUGGUUUAUCGGUGUUUAAGUAUAAGAUAUAUGGUUGACAUGCAUCUAAGUGUGUAUCAUGACAGCUAGGAUAUCCUUCAGCUGCAUCGCCGGAAGUUAUUGCAUCUUCUGAGUUGACAAUACUUGACGUUUGAGUCAAACGACGUUUUGACUUACGACGGAAAAAAUUCUGGAGGAUUGUAUCUCUUGAUUUCAGAUGUAGCUACAGAUUAUAUUUCUUGAAGCAAUUGCAAAGAAGGAUUAGAUGAUUAAUCUCGAAGUAGCAGAAAGAUGAUAUGACUAGGCUAAGAUUGAUAGUAGUCUUGUAGAGCUGGAUACUGUUGUUUGAAUCAAAGACCUUCAGUUAGUGCUAUCCCAGAAUGUCAUUAUAAUAAUGCAAGAAGAGUGGCCGAGUUUGUAACAGCUCCAUAUUUGUUGUGAUCUUGGUGGAAAGUAUCGCAUCUGCUGUUUUACUAUCUUCGCUUCAGAAAUUGUUUCUCCACAGGCUUCGACUUGCAACACUAAUAGUGCCACAUUCAAAACUGAUUAGCUGGGAUAUGAUUAGAGGGUUUCUGAGAGUAUAAAGAGAUUUAAUUCCACUGUUAAGGAAAUGGAGUAACCCUAAUGGUCAUAAUCUGAGAUAACUGUUGGAAAAUAUUAUCGCAUACUUAAUUCCUUGUGGAGCGAAGCGCUAAGCACCAAAGUGACUUAAAAAGCUCUUAAGGUUCUUGGGCUGUCUUCUGAUCCUUCAAACAUGCCAUUAAUCUAGGUAGCUCAGACUCUUCAAAACUUUCGACAAUUGCGUGUUGGAUACUUCAAAUGUUAGUUCAUUGCUAGAUGAUCCGAUAGGGAGACAGAAACAUUUUGGAGAGUCCAAGCAACAUAGCCAUUGAGCUUCUUUAUCUUAGCCAACAGUGCGAACUAUUAUUGCUAUUGCUGAUUCACAAAACUGGCCUCUUCAUCAAAUGGAUGUCAAAAAUGUUUUUCUUCAUGGUGAUCUCAAAGAAGAUAUUUAUAUGAAAUCACCACCAGGUUUGUUCUCAUCGCAUACAUUAGAUGUAUGCAAGUUGAAAAGGUCUUUAUAUGGAUUAAAACAAGCCCCAGAGCUUGGUUUAACAAAUUUCGGUCUACUUUGCUACAAUUCUCUUUUGGGCAGAGCAAAUAUGAAUCAUCUUUGUUUCUUCGAAAAACAUCUAUAGGUUGUGUUCUUCUUUUGGUAUAUUUUGGUAUGUGUAGAUGACAUUAUUAUCAUAGGAACUGAUUCUUCACUAAUGACUAGCAUCCAGCAGCAGCUUAAGGAUUCUUUUCAUAUGAAAGAUCUUGGUGCUCUUACAUAUUUCUUGGGAUUGGAAGCUCAUAAUGAUUCUUCAUGCGUUCUUCUAAAUCAACACAAAUAUGCUCAGCUGAUUUCUUUGGUUGGUCUUCAAGGUUCCUCCUCCGUAGAUACUCCAUUAGAAUUGAAUGUAAAGUAUCAUCGUGAGGAAGGCGGUCUUAUUCCUGAUCCAACUAUAUUUUGGCAAUUAGUUGGGACCUUAAAUUACCUUACUAUUACUCAGCCUGACGUCUCUUUUGUAGUUCAACAAGUUAGUCAAUUUACGCAAGCUCCCUGUCAUCUCCAUUAGGUGGUUGUACGUCGCAUCAUUCGAUAUCUACUAGAAACAUCAAAUCGUGGAUUAUUCUUUCCUAGUGGUUCUCCUAUUCGUCUUAAUUCUUUUAGUGAUUCUUCCUGGGCGGGAUAUCCCGAUACCCAUCGUUCAGUUAUUGGUUGGUGCAUGUUUCUUGGAGAUUCCUUGAUAUCUUGGAAGAGUAAGAAACACGAUCAUGUCUCAAAAUCUUUAAUAGAGGCUGAAUAUCGAUCUGUAUCUACUGCUUGCGCCGAGGUUGUAUGGCUUCAUAGAUUACUUGCUGAGGUUAUCAAUAAGCCAUUACCCCUGUCUCUGAAUGUUGGCACUUCUAUUCCUUGGUUUAUCGGUGUAUAUGUAUAAGAUAUAUGAUUGGCAUGCAGCUAGGUGUGUAUCAAGAGAGUUAGGAUAUCCUUCUGCUGUAUCUCCGGAAGUUAUGGCAUCUUUUGAGUUGACAAUACUUGACGCUUGAGUCAAAUUAUGUUUAGACUUGCAACGGAAAAAAUUCUGGAGGAUUGUAUCUCUUGAUUUCAGAUGUAGCUACAGAUUAUAUUUCUUGAAGGUAAUGUCGGCAGGGGCUUAAUUUCCUGCAUAUCAAUAAUAAUUUGUAGCACAUUGUUUUUAUAUUGCAGAAGACCUAUCCGCGUCCUUGUACCCAUGGUGUUUGCAUAAGCUGAAUCAUUUGGAUUCCUUUAAUAUAGUAAACCUUUCUGCUUUUCUUGAA